rnacentral:rRNA from 1 species
UGGGGAAUUUUGCACAAUGGGGGAAACCCUGAUGCAGCGACGCCGCGUGAUUUAGAAGGCCUUCGGGUUGUAAAAAUCUUUUCUAUGGGAAGAAAAUGACAGUACCAUAGGAAUAAGGACCGGCUAAUUACGUGCCAGCAGCCGCGGUAAUACGUAAGGUCCGAGCGUUGUCCGGAAUCAUUGGGCGUAAAGGGUACGUAGGCGGGUAAGCAAGUUAGAAGUGAAAUCCUAUAGCUCAACUAUAGUAAGCUUUUAAAACUGCUCAUCUUGGGGUAUGGAAGUGAAAGUGGAAUUCCUAGUGUAGCGGUGAAAUGCGCAGAUAUUAGGAGAAAUACCGGUGGCGAAGGCGACUUUCUGGCCAUAACCUGACGCUGAGGUACGAAAGCGUGGGUAGCAAACAGG